GUUGUUUUCUGUUUUUAUGGCCGGCGAUAUAGGUAUUAUAAUGUCCAAUGAAAGGUAUUAACAAAUCCUCCAUACUGCUCGGUUUCUAUCGCAGGCAGUUGGCCACGUGCUUGCAGUGACGAUGCUUGCUGAGCUGCACAGUCUUUGGGGCGAUCGUGGCUCAAGAGUUGGGAGUUCGCCUUGUAAUCGGAAGGUUGCCGACAUACAUCGCCGCUUUACGUCAACUCCGAAGCCCUUUGGAACAGGGCCCUGUGCAGCACUGUUCAGCAAGAGCAGUGAGGUUUCAGUUGUAAUGCUGCUUACAUUUGUCACAUGUUUUUUGCAUAUGCAAUAAUGUUGCAUAUUCCACAGCCCUACCCUGUCUUGACAAGUAAAUUUAAGAAUCUGUUUAGGACUUAUUUAGCUUAUUACUCACUUUGAAUUUUUUUUUUAUUGAAACUAAGCUUCUGGCUUAUUGGUGUUAUUUUAGUCAUUAUGCAGCCGUAUUGUUUGUAAAGUUGGUGAAGCCUGCAGUCGGCUGAAACUGAAGAAGUCACAUAGAUAAGUGAUAAAAUGUUUCUACUAAACGCUGGGUCCAGAUGAACAGAAAUAAAUUUCUAGGAUCCGAUCAGUUACUACUCCAUGGUUGUUUUGUAUGUUAACAAGAACAAAAUAAGUGAAGUAGACUUACAGGGCUUGUUCAAAGAGGUUUUCAAACAUAUGGUUUUAACCAAAAAAGCAUGGGUGCUUUUCCUUAAAAAGUGCAAAAAAAGAAAGAAACAGGCAAUUGUUAAGAACGCCUUAGGUGAAGCAGUGUUAGAUAAACUAACAAAACACUGCUAUUAAAAAAACUAUUGGCAUAUAAAAGCUUCCAUUAAGCUGAAUAUUAUUUAUAUUAUUGCAUACAUAUGGUUGACAGAAAGUGACCUCUGUAGCUAUUUCCCAUUGAGGAUUGCAAAAGAAACCACAAAAACGAAUAAAACCAACUUACUGAUUGUUUGUACAUGUGCAGAGGAGGCAAAGUGGAUAUACUGGAUAAAGAAUGCUGAAUAUGGAGCUGCCAUAAUAAAAAAUAAAAACUAGUUAGUGUGAGACCUGGUUUUUAUUUAACCAGUAAGGAAAUUGUGAUGCACACUCCACACCAGUUGGAGGCGCUGGUCCUCCAACUUGUCUGUCAGCCUCAAAGAAGAGACGACCAAUGACGACCCAGCAGGGAAGUAUUGAUGUGGUUGACAUCUGUCCAGUGUUUGGUAUAUUCUCUAUUGUAACCUUCAUUGUAAGCUUGCUUUGGCGUUAUAUCACACUAGAGUUAGCAAGUGUGUUGGUAGCAUUCAGAGCAUAUUUCUCCUGUUUUGGCUUCCCUUCAUUGGC